UACGUAGGGUGCGAGCGUUGUCCGGAAUUAUUGGGCGUAAAGAGCUCGUAGGCGGUGUGUCGCGUCGGCCGUGAAAACCUGGGGCUUAACUCUGGGCGUGCGGUCGAUACGGGCAUCACUGGAGUUCGGCAGGGGAGACUGGAAUUCCUGGUGUAGCGGUGAAAUGCGCAGAUAUCAGGAGGAACACCGGUGGCGAAGGCGGGUCUCUGGGCCGAUACUGACACUGAUGAGCGAAAGCCAGGGGAGCAAACGGG
rnacentral:rRNA from 1 species